rnacentral:rRNA from 1 species
GACAGAGGGUGCAAACGUUGUUCGGAAUUACUGGGCGUAAAGCGUGUGUAGGCUGCUCCGAUAGUCGGAUGUGAAAGCCCUGGGCUCAACCUAGGAAGUGCAUUCGAUACUCCGGAGCUUGAGUCCUGGAGAGGAAGGCGGAAUUCUCGGUGUAGAGGUGAAAUGCGUAGAUAUCGGGAGGAACACCAGUGGCGAAGGCGACUACCUGGCCUGUUCUUGACGCUGAGGCGCGAAAGCUAGGGGAGCAAACGGG